UACGAAGGGGGCUAGCGUUGUUCGGAUUUACUGGGCGUAAAGGGCGCGUAGGCUGGCUUAUAAGUCGGGGUGAAAGCCUGUGGCUCAACCACAGAAUUGCCUUCGAUACUGUAGAGCUUGAGACCGGAAGAGGUAAGUGGAACUGCGAGUGUAGAGGUGAAAUUCGUAGAUAUUCGCAAGAACACCAGUGGCGAAGGCGGCU
rnacentral:rRNA from 1 species